rnacentral:rRNA from 1 species
GAGUAGUAAUAGUUAUAGUCUUGAAACUUAAAGAAUUUGGCGGUAUUUUAGUCUAUUUAGAGGAAUCUGUUCUGUAAUCGAUAGUCCACGUUGAACCUUACUUAAAUUUAAAUUCAAUAUGUAUACCGUUGUUAUAAAUUAUUUUAUUAGAAAAAUAAUUUUUAUAAUUUAAUUAAAAUAUAUCAGAUCAAGGUGCAGUUUAUAUUUAAGUUAGAAAUGGAUUACAAUAAUAUUAAUUAAAUGAAUAUAAAAAUGAAAUUUUUUAUUGAAAGUGGAUUUAAUAGUAAAUUUAUAAAGAUUAUUAAGUUGAUUAUAGCUCUAAAAUAUGU